rnacentral:misc_RNA from 1 species
UGGUUCCGGCAUCGAUGAAGAACGCAGCGAAAUGCGAUAACUAAUGUGAAUUGCAGAAUUCAGUGAAUCAUCGAGUCUUUGAACGCACAUUGCGCCCCCUGGUAUUCCGGGGGGCAUGCCUGUCCGAGCGUCAUUGCUGCCCUCAAGCACGGCUUGUGUGUUGGGCUCCGUCCCCCCGGGGACGGGCCCGAAAGGCAGCGGCGGCACCGAGUCCGGUCCUCGAGCGUAUGGGGCUUUGUCACCCGCUCUGUAGGCCCGGCCGGCGCCAGCCGACAACCCAUCAUCCUUUUCAGGUUGACCUCGGAUCAGGUAGGGAUACCCGCUGA